UCGGGAAUUUUGUGCAAUGGGCGAAAGCCUGACACAGCAACGCCGCGUGAAGGAUGAAGUCCCUCGGGAUGUAAACUUCGUAAGAAUAGGAAGAAUAAAUGACGGUACUAUUUGUAAGGUCCGGCUAACUACGUGCCAGCAGCCGCGGUAAUACGUAGGGACCAAGCGUUGUUCGGAUUUACUGGGCGUAAAGGGUGCGUAGGCGGCAUAUCAAGUCACUUGUGAAAUCUCCGGGCUUAACUCGGAACUGCCAAGUGAUACUGAUGUGCUAGAGUGCAGAAGGGGCAAUCGGAAUUCUUGGUGUAGCGGUGAAAUGCGUAGAUAUCAAGAGGAACACCUGAGGUGAAGACGGGUUGCUGGGCUGACACUGACGCUGAGGCGCGAAAGCCAGGGGAGCAAACGGGAUUAGAUACCCCCGUAGUCCCUGAGCGGGCUGGCAAGGCGCAU
rnacentral:rRNA from 1 species